UCUGGCGGCAGUAGCGCGGUGGUCCCACCUGACCCCAUGCCGAACUCAGAAGUGAAACGCCGUAGCGCCGAUGGUAGUGUGGGGUCUCCCCAUGCGAGAGUAGGGAACUGCCAGRC
rnacentral:rRNA from 2 species